rnacentral:rRNA from 1 species
CCUGGCGGCAGGCUUACACAUGCNAGUCGAACGGUAGCAGGAAGAAGCUUGCUUCUUUGCUGACGAGUGGCGGACGGGUGAGUAAUGCUUGGGAAUCUGGCUUAUGGAGGGGGAUAACUACUGGAAACGGUAGCUAAUACCGCGUAAUGUCUACGGACUAAAGGGUGGGACUGUAAGGCCACCUGCCAUAAGAUGAGCCCAAGUGGGAUUAGGUAGUUGGUGAGGUAAAGGCUCACCAAGCCCGCGAUCUCUAGCUGGUCUGAGAGGAUGACCAGCCACACUGGAACUGAGACACGGUCCAGACUCCUACGGGAGGCAGCAGUGGGGAAUAUUGCACAAUGGGGGGAACCCUGAUGCAGCCAUGCCGCGUGAAUGAAGAAGGCCUUCGGGUUGUAAAGUUCUUUCGGUGACGAGGAAGGCGAUUGUUUUAAUAGAACAAUCGAUUGACGUUAAUCACAGAAGAAGCACCGGCUAACUCCGUGCCAGCAGCCGCGGUAAU